UGUUCUCAUUGGUCAUUGAAGCAGAUUUGUCUUUCAAGUCGAGAUUUUAUUGUAAUUCAAACUGAAAGGAAGUAACCGUUUCGUUUUAGUGAAUUCUCAGUUCGAAAAGUAUUUGAAUCAAAGUGUUUGCUUGUUCAACAUUUAUUCUCAAGAACGCUGUGAGUCAUCGGAAAAUCGCAAACAAAAGCCUUAAGUCGAUUUGGUCAGGUCUGUGUUGUAGAACAACUAAAUAUCAAAAUGACCUCAACAAGUUUCAAUGUGGGUUUGACUGAAGCCAAGAACUCAAGCAGGGUUUUGAAACCACCAGGAGGCGGACAUACAGACAUUUUUGGGAUCCGGGGAAAUGAAAUAGUAAAUACACCCAGUAAACGCAAAAAUCAACCUCAGUCAACUAUCAAUAGUUGUUUCCAAGAAGAACAUACCAAAACUGACAGUAAAGAAAUUGAGGAAAUAAAUACCAAAGAAAGUGACUUAAAGACUGGAAAUGAUGCUACAGAUGAAAAUACAGAACCUACCGGAGAUAACGAACAUCAAGGGAAGAAGAAAAGUGAUGAUCCAAUCGCACCUCGGAGGGGAAGAGUACCCCCCGGUGGUUUUUCAUCUGGUCUGUGGUAAUUUUCAUACAUUUUGAAGCAGUUGAUAUUCUUAUGCAACUUUGUAGCUAAUUUGAAUGUGAAACUGUUCUUGUGAUUUUUGUAUAAUUAUUUUUGUUAGGUAUUUUUAUGAAACUUGUAGCACUCACAUAAGAAUUGGGAUAUAAAUGUGUCAUGAAUUGCCAUUUCCCCUUAUGUUCUCAAUUAUUAUUUCCCAUCUAAAAUUUUCAAAACGAGUAUUGAUAUUUUCCAAUUCUUAUCGCCAUUCAUAAAAUAUGCCUGCUUCUUUCAAAAAGUCUGAACAUUUUUGGUAAUAAACUUUUUAGCAAAAA